rnacentral:rRNA from 1 species
GGUUACCUUGUUACGACUUCACCCCAGUCAUGAAACACAAAGUGGUAAUCGUCCUCCCGAAGGUUAGACUAACUACUUCUUUUGCAUCCCACUCCCAUGGUGUGACGGGCGGUGUGUACAAGGCCCGGGAACGUAUUCACCGCAGUAUUCUGACCUGCGAUUACUAGCGAUUCCGACUUCAUGGAGUCGAGUUGCAGACUCCAACCCGGACUACGACAUUCUUUAAGGGGUCCGCUCCACAUCACUGUCUCGCUUCUCUCUGUAAAUGCCAUUGUAGCACGUGUGUAGCCCUACACGUAAGGGCCAUGAUGACUUGACUCGUCCCCACCUUCCUCCGGUUUGUCACCGGCAGUCUCCUUAGAGUGCCCAACUGAAUGCUGGCAACUAACGACAAGGGUUGCGCUCGUUGCGGGGACUUAACCCAACAUCUCACGACACAAGCUGACAACACCAUUGC